AUACGUAGGGGGCGAGCGUUGUCCGGAAUGAUUGGGCGUAAAGGGCGCGUAGGCGGCCCGGUAAGUCUGGAGUGAAAGUCCUGUUUUUAAGAUGGGAAUUGCUUUGGAUACUGUCGGGCUUGAGUGCAGGAGAGGUAAGUGGAAUUCCCAGUGUAGCGGUGAAAUGCGUAGAGAUUGGGAGGAACACCAGUGGCGAAGGCGACUUACUGGACUGUAACUGACGCUGAGGCGCGAAAGUGUGGGGAGCAAACAGGAUUAGAUACCCUGGUAGUCCACACUGUAAACGAUGAGUGCUAGGUGUAGGGGGUAUCGACCCCUUCUGUGCCGCAGUCAACACAAUAAGCAUUCCGCCUGGGGAGUACGGCCGCAAGGUUGAAACUCAAAGGAAUUGACGGGG
rnacentral:rRNA from 1 species